rnacentral:rRNA from 1 species
AUGUGACCUCAAAUCAGGUAGAACUACCCGCUGAACUUAA